rnacentral:rRNA from 1 species
UACGGAGGGUGCGAGCGUUGUCCGGAAUCAUUGGGCGUAAAGAGCUCGUAGGCGGUCAGUCGCGUCUGCUGUGAAAACUCGGGGCUUAACUCCGGGCCUGCAGUGGGUACGGGCUGACUAGAGUGCGGUAGGGGAGACUGGAAUUCCUGGUGUAGCGGUGAAAUGCGCAGAUAUCAGGAGGAACACCGGUGGCGAAGGCGGGUCUCUGGGCCGUAACUGACGCUGAGACGCGAAAGCGUGGGGAGCAAACAGG